UAAAUUAAAUUAAUCGAAUCUACAUAUAAAUAUAUCAACGAUAUAAUAUACGAUACUUUUCCCAUGCGGACAAAAAAAAUGAUCGCUUGUUUUGUAAAAUGCUUAUCGAGAAGAGGUUAAAUUGAGUUUGUUGUGAUGGUCUAACUAAUGGUAGCGAGAGAGAAAAUACUAUAUCUCUUACCUGAUUUUCGUUUUUAUGAUGGGCGGCGAUGACAAACAAACUAGGUUAAGUUAUCGAGAUUAUGAAGUUAAAUGAAAGAAAGAUAACACAUAUUUAUAGAAUAACAAAAUGGAAAACAAUAGGUUAAGGUAACUCAAUUAAGUCUUUAAUGUACAUCUUUUUAUAUCAACCACUCAUUUGUUUUAUCCACAAUUUGAUUAGCCACUGAAGAUAAAGAACAAUCUAUAAUGAUUUGUAUUUUUAUUUUUAUUUUUAUUUUAAUAGUAAGAGAUUCUGGAUCUAGGACUGGAGACCAGAGCAUUUAAUAUUAUUUCUUCCCGAGUGAUACUCGAACCAGAGACCUUUUUGCCUAAGACUUUG
rnacentral:sRNA from 1 species